rnacentral:lncRNA from 10 species
AGUUGCUGGGGGUCCCUAGGCCGGGCCCCAGGACAUCUAGGACAUGCCGGGGGCUGUUUGCUACGGCUUCAUCCCGGAGCUCCUGCUCGGGGUUGCCGGCUGCCUCUGCUGGCGUCCCUCUUCCCUUCCUUUGCGUAAGCGGCAACUCCUCCAGGAAGCCAGGGGAAGGACGGGAUUUCCUCUCCACGUAGGGUAGUAGAUCGCAUAGCCCAGCCGGAUCGCCCAGCAGGAGUGCAGGGCGCGCGUCGGGGUGUCUCCGGCUUGUGGGUGUGCGGUUCGAAACCUUAGCUGGGGUGGGGGAAGGGAUGUCUUUAACCUUCUGUCUACCGUCCCCCUCUUCCCUCUCUCAGCCUAGAGGCAGGGGAUGCUGCGGAAUCAGACUGGGUGCACCAAGGCGGAGGGCCAUGCCGGGCUUCGCCCUUCCUGGGUGUCCCGGAGUCCGUUCCGGAGAAACCCUGGCAUUGCCAGAACUGGGUCCCCGCACUCACUCCUCCAUAAUUCGCGGCGGAUCAGCGGGAGGAGGGCAGAGGGCGGGGGCGAGGCAGCUUCCUGGCGGGUGUGGCGCAAAGUGUGCGGGGUGUGGCGCAAAGUGCGCGGACCCGGGUCCUGGACCGAAGAUUUAGCCCAGGGUUUCGUGUGUGUUGCUCCCUGUUGCUUUCUACGGGGUCUGCGCUGGCCUCCUCCUCGGGCGACUGGGCCCUGAGGCAACAGCGCCUUCUCGAGCCCCGAGGAUUGACCGCCCCGAGCCUGCUUGGAGCAGGGCCUCUCUCCAGCGCGGUGUGAUGAAACACCAGCUGCUGUGAAGAUAUACCCUUAGAAACGAACCGUCUGUUAAUAUGCUUAUGAAAACAGGGGCUCAGAGAGGAUGUACUUUUCUCAAGACCACACAGCUGGAAAAAAACCAUUCUUCCAGGAGAGGCUCCUCCAAGCAAACUUCCCCUUACAUCUCUUACCAGAACUGGGUCACAUGCUCCCAUCUAAAACAACCACUGGCCAUUAGAAAUGGUGUUACCAUGCCUGUCUUGGACCAAUCACAUUUGAUCCUCUGAGGAUAGAGACAUGUUGCCACCUGAACAACUGUGGGGUGCUGUACUCCUGGCAAGCAGGGAGAAUGGCUGUGGCUAGGCAACUGACAGCAUCUACCACAAAUAUGUUACUCAGAAGAAGAAUCGAGGAUGGCCAUAAUUUUUAUUUAAAGAUUUCUAUUUUACAGAGGCAUAUCUGAUUAAGGGACAUUUAAACUUCCCUGUUAAACUUAUCAAGACAAAAAGACAAGGCAUCUUGCCACAUUUCUUAAAUAUUCUCUGCAGUCUCUCUUGACCUUUUCCCAGCUGUGCUGUAAACAUAAAGAUAAUAACAUAUCUGAAUAACAUUUUAUGGUGCACAGAUAAUUUUCACAUACAUUAUCCAUUUGACCCUCACCAUAACUGUGUGGGGUAGGUAAGGUACGAUUGUACUUUUCAUUAAUUUUUUUUUUUUUGAGACACAGUCUCGUUCUGUCACCCAGGCUAGAGUGCAGUGGUGCGAUCUGGGCUCACUGCAACCUCCACCUCCCAGGUUCAAGUGAUUCUCCUGCCUCAGCCUCCAAGUAGCUGGGAUUACAGGCAAGUGCCACCAUGCCUGGCUAGUUUUUGUAAUUUUUUAGUAGAGACAGGGUUUCACCAUGUUGGCCAGGCUGGUCUAGAACUCCUGACCUCAGGUGAUCCACGUGCCUCGGCCUCCCAAAGUGCUGGGGUUACAGGCAUGAGCCACUGCUCCUGGCCACUUUUCAUUAAUUUUUAUUGGACUUAGGAUUAGAAGGAUGAGCAAAUCCUACUACUUAGUGCGUGGAAUACUGGCAUCUAUUGUUUUUGCUUGGCUCCUCUCUUGUUUUAAUAAUUAACUAAUCGAUCCAUUCUCUUUUAUUGCCAUCUCCCACUCACACUUUUUCCUCCACAUAGGCAAUCAUUCUAAAUAUGUCCAAUGUUUAUCUUAUUUGUAUGCGUAUUUAUAAAGUGAAUAUUUUGUUUAGUGUGUAUGCAGUUUCGUUUGCAUAAAUUGUAAUAUUCUGUGAAUCUCAUUCUGUUUUGUACUUUUUUCAUUCUGCUCUGUUUUUAGAAGUGAUCCAUGUUGCUAUGUGUAUCUACUCCAUUGCCUUUAAAUGCUGCAUAAUACUCCACGGUGUUUGUCGAUCAUGUUUUACUCAUCUUUGCCCCCUAGUGGAAACCAUGAUGGCCUCCAACUCUGCACACAAAUAGUUUCAAACAAGAACCGCUGGUGAAAUGUGACUGCUGAUGGACCUGGGUGGGAAUUUCUCUGGGAUGCCGACUAAAAAGCAUGGUGGCUGGGUCAUAAAAUGCACACUUAAUUUGAAUAAGUGCCACCCAGUGGCUCUCCACAAAGCCUGCACUAGUCCAUUCUACUAGAAAUUAUUCACAUUUAACUGGAAACUGGGUCUUGGAGAUGUUAAGUAACUUGCUCAAGCUCACAUAAGGAGUAAAAGUGAAUUAGGACAUCCAGGACCCAAAUCCAGGCCUUGUAACUUCAGGUCAAUUUUAUUUUCCAGGGCACCACCCUCUAAGUCUCUGGAUCAUAAUAUGGAGCACUAAUAAAAAGAUUUCUUGAGGCUUUUGUUAUUUACAUAAUGAAUUUCAGAAAUGGCUUACUGGUGCUACUGGCAAGUUGCAGGCAGAAGAAAGAAUGAAAGCGAAUGGGCAUCUCAUGUUCUAUUCUCUGAUUCAACCUGUUUUGGGUCCCUUUUGACUGCUUUACCACAGUUGCUAUUACAUUAUUUUGGGAAGUAUUUAAAAAAGAAGAGAAAGUGCUGGAUAUCUGAACUCCUUUCCUCCAGUCUGCCAUGGGCCAAAAUGUAGUACCACCAUGCCUGACUAGAAAGUAAAAGAGGAAUCAUAGAAUCAGAUAGUGUUAUAACCAGAAUGGGCCUUACAGACCAUUUAGUCUAGUCCUCCCAUUUUAUAGAUGAGAAAAUGGAGGCCCAGAGAGAGGAAGACAGUUGCCUGAGGUCACACAGCUGGAAGGAGAGCAGGAUGGGCACCCAGGCUUUCUGAAAACCAGUCUCUUUGAUGCAGGUGAACCCCCACAUUGGGGCUCAGCUCAAGAGGGUUCUUAGCUUUGCUCAGGAAGGAAUUCAAGAGUGAGCUGACAGUUAAAGAAAGCAAGUUUUUAGAGCAAUAGUGUACAGCAAAAUGGCUGCUCCACAGACAGAGCAGGGCCAUCCCAUAGGCAGAGUAGCACUUGUGCAUUGCUGGCUAGCUCUAUUUAUAGCUGCUCCUAAUUAUAUGCUAAAUAAGCGGUGGGUUAUUCACAGAUUUUCUAGAAAAGGUGUGGGGAAUUUCCAGAACUGAUGGUUCCUUCCUCUUUAAACCAUGUAAGGUAACUUCUGGGUUUUGCCAUGACAUCAACUGUCAUGGUGCUGGUGGGAAGUGUUUUACAGCAUGCAAAUGUAUUAUAAUUCCUAGUCCUAACUGCUUUUGGCUGGUUCCUUUGCUACAUCCUGUUUUGAUCAGCAGUGUCAUGAAAACAAGUCCUGUUCAUCUCCUACCUCUCCUUGCCCUUUCCACUUUUCUGCACACAGCAACUUUCACCUGCGCACCCAGGAAUCCACACUUUAAGUCUUAACAACCUGAGGUGUUGUUGAGAAAAAACUACAAACAGUGGUGCGCUGGCAAAUCUUUAACAAUCACCUGGGGUGGGGUGGGGUGUGGAUAAACAAGCCUUAUUUGUAGCAUAUGGCCAAUUUCAAGCUGCCAAAGUGCUGUCACUGAACGUGAAGUAGUGGGAGCAGGGCAGCAGAGGGCCACCAAUCAGAGGCAUUUCCACCAAACAGAUGCAAUUGGCAUAAGUAACUGCAAGGGCACGGACAACCGCAAGGUCUGCUAAAAGGAUUAGGAAGUGAUGAGUUUUGAGUGUUUAUUACUUUUGGUUUUAGUGUAACUUAUUUGUAAGCUUACAUAAUUUAAUGUCUAAUAAGGGCAAUGUUUA